GCGGUACCGGUUCACGCUCUGUUGGCUCCUGGGGGGACGACCCCCCAGACCCCCCCGGAAAACCCGGGCAGGCGACCCGGCGACC
rnacentral:ncRNA from 1 species